ACAAUGUGUAUGUAGACCCACACACACACAGUGUGUAUGUAGACCCACACACACACAGUGUGUAUGUAGACCCACACACACACACACACAGUGUGUAUGUAGACCCACACACACACACACACACACACACAGUGUGUAUGUAGACCCACACACACACACACACACACAGUGUGUAUGUAGACCCACACACACACACACACACACAGUGUGUAUGUAGACCCACACACACACACACACAGUGUGUAUGUAGACCCACACACACACACACACAGUGUGUAUGUAGACACACACACACACAGUGUGUAUGUAGACACACACACACACAGUGUGUAUGUAGACACACACACACACACAGUAUGUAGACACACACAUACACACUGUGUGUAUGUAGACACACACACACAGUGUGUAUGUAGACACACACACACACACACAGUGUGUAUGUAGACACACACACACACACACACAGUGUGUAUGUAGACACACACACACACACACAGUGUGUAUGUAGACACACACACACACAGUGUGUAUGUAGACACACACACACACACAGUG
rnacentral:lncRNA from 10 species